CCUACGGGUGGCAGCAGUGGGGAAUAUUGCACAAUGGGCGAAACCCUGAUGCAGCGACGCCGCGUGAGUGAAGAAGUAUUUCGGUAUGUAAAGCUCUAUCAGCAGGGAAGAAAAUGACGGUACCUGAUUAAGAAGCCCCGGCUAACUACGUGCCAGCAGCCGCGGUAAUCCGUAGGGGGCAAGCGUUAUCCGGAUUUACUGGGGGUAAAGGGAGUGUAGACGGGGAUGCAAGUCAGAAGUGAAAGCCCGGGGCUCAACUCCGGGACUGCUGUUGAAACUGGGUGACUUGAGUGCAGGAGAGGUAAGCGGAAUUCCUGGUGUAGCGGUGAAAUGCGUAGAUAUCAGGAGGAACACCAGUGGCGAAGGCGGCUUACUGGACUGUAACUGACGUUGAGGCUCGAAAGCGUGGGGAGCAAACAGGAUUAGAUACCCGGGUAGUC
rnacentral:rRNA from 1 species